ACGUACGUUACGUAGCAAAAAAGGGGAGAGAGUCUUAAAAAUAAAAUAAAAAACUGGUCAAGGAGACAAGAGUGAAGCUGUCGGGGUCGAGUCGAAGGAGGUGGAUAAGCACGCGCAGCCGGAGGAAAGAUAUGACCCACACUGAGGCCUGAGCCACCUCUUCCCACUUCAACAACGUUCUCUCUCUCUUAUCUCUAGUCGCUUUCACACCCAAAACAAUGAAGAAACUCAUAGAAAGAGAGAGAGAGAGAAACAAGAGAGGUGUGGUUUGUGUGUUGUGUGUGUGCCAUGGAACGAUGUGUCUUAUUUGUUUUUGCAGCCGUCCUUUCGUUGUCGGAUAUUCGGGUCCGAACUCCGGACCGGUCCUAUCAGAUCAAACCACUGACACCCUUCCCUUAUUCCUUCCCUCUCUUUCUUCUUGUCUUUUUCUUCCUUAAUCCUCUCUGUUUUCUGAUUCCUAUUGAUCCGAAGGAUGUUUUUUUUUUUGUCUUUGAAUGUGCGUGGAAGAGAGCUACUUUCGUCUUUUCUGUUAUGGCUUAAGCCCAACGGUCCAAUAUUUUAUCCUCAG
rnacentral:sRNA from 1 species